rnacentral:rRNA from 1 species
GGGGGAAUUUUGGACAAUGGACGCAAGUCUGAUCCAGCCAUGCCGCGUGCGGGAAGAAGGCCUUCGGGUUGUAAACCGCUUUUGUCAGGGAAGAAACGAGUUUCUCUAAUACAGAGACUUAAUGACGGUACCAUCAGAAGAAGCACCGGCUAACUACGUGCCAGCAGCCGCGGUAAUACGUAGGGUGCGAGCGUUAAUCGGAAUUACUGGGCGUAAAGCGUGCGCAGGCGGUUUUGUAAGACAGAGGUGAAAUCCCCGGGCUCAACCUGGGAAUUGCCUUUGUGACUGCAAGGCUUGAGUGCGGCAGAGGGGGAUGGAAUUCCGCGUGUAGCAGUGAAAUGCGUAGAUAUGCGGAGGAACACCGAUGGCGAAGGCAAUCCCCUGGGCCUGCACUGACGCUCAUGCACGAAAGCGUGGGGAGCAAACA